rnacentral:rRNA from 1 species
CUUGACGAUCAUAGAGCGUUGGAACCACCUGAUCCCUUCCCGAACUCAGAAGUGAAACGACGCAUCGCCGAUGGUAGUGUGGGGUCUCCCCAUGUGAGAGU